CCUUCGGGAGGCAGCAGUGAGGAAUAUUGGUCAAUGGGCGGAAGCCUGAACCAGCCAAGUCGCGUGAGGGAUUAAGGCCCUAUGGGUCGUAAACCUCUUUUGUCAGGGAGCAAUGGCGUCCACGUGUGGGCGUAUGGAGAGUACCUGAAGAAAAAGCAUCGGCUAACUCCGUGCCAGCAGCCGCGGUAAUACGUAGGUGGCAAGCGUUGUCCGGAUUUACUGGGUGUAAAGGGCGUGCAGCCGGGGAGACAAGUCAGAUGUGAAAUCCACGGGCUCAACCCGUGAACUGCAUUUGAAACUGUUUCCCUUGAGUGUCGGAGAGGUAAUCGGAAUUCCUUGUGUAGCGGUGAAAUGCGUAGAUAUAAGGAAGAACACCAGUGGCGAAGGCGGAUUACUGGACGAUAACUGACGGUGAGGCGCGAAAGCGUGGGGAGCAAACAGGAUUAGAUACCCUAGUAGUC
rnacentral:rRNA from 1 species